UACCAGCACCCCGAGUGGUCGGGACGUUUAUUGGGCCUAAAGCAUCCGUAGCCGGUUCUACAAGUCUUCCGUUAAAUCCAACUGCUUAACAGGUGGGCUGCGGAAGAUACUAUAGAGCUAGGAGGCGGGAGAGGCAAGCGGUACUCGAUGGGUAGGGGUAAAAUCCGUUGAUCCAUUGAAGACCACCAGUGGCGAAGGCAGGGUCCUGGCUGGCACCUGACGCUGAUGUGCGAAAGCCAGGGGAGCGAACGGG
rnacentral:rRNA from 1 species